UACUAAUGCAACUGCGAAUAGCUGUUUAAUACAGUCGUAAUUGUAUUGACUUAUAAUAAGAUUUAGUAUCCUAAUUGGAUAACUAAGGGAAAGUUUGGCUAAUACGUUUAAUAAUACAUAUACAUAUAAUAUUUAAUGAUAGAUAUUAUAUAAAUUAAAAAUACAUUUAUUUGUAUUUUAAAUAGAGUAGACUUUAUAUUAUUAUAAUUAUAAAGCAUGUCAAACAAGCAUCUAUAGCAUCAAGUCACAAUGUUGGCAUGUGUAUUAUUGAACCUUCAAAGCAUUUACGCAUUCGGAGGAGUAGUUUCUGAUCCCGUCGAAGGUGCCUGAGAGACGGCACUUAGUUCUAAGGAACGCAGCAGGCGCGUAAAUUGCCCAAUGACAAAACAUGAUUAAUAUAUAACCUUGUAUUACUGACUUUUAUUGAGGCAGUGACAAGCUGUAAAGAUUAAAUAUAUUAAUUAAGAUAACAUUUGGAAUUGUCGCUUUGUAAUAUUUUAAUAUUAUAUUGCUUGAUAAUAUACCAAUGUUAUAAAAUAUUUAAUUUGAAUGCGGUGAAUCUAAUAAUUUCAAGUAACAUGUAUAAAAUAUUUAAUUAUUUUAUAUGUUAUCAGAAUUUUCAAGUGGAGGGCAAGUCUGGUGCCAGCAGCCGCGGUAAUACCAGCUCCACUAGCNNNNNNNNNNNNNNNNNNNNNNNNNNNGCUCGUAGUUGGAUUGAAUAUAUUAUUAUACAAUACUGUGAACAAACCAGAGUGUAUAAAACAUGUAAUAUAUUAUAUUAUGCAAUGAAUGUUUUAUCAUGGAAUAUUGCUAAUAUAUUAUUUCGAUGGAGAUAGUUGGAGUUAAGAGUACUGAUAGGCGAGCGGUGAAAUGCAUUGACCCUAUUAAGACUAACAAAAGCGAAAGCACUUAACUAGAUUAUUCUCUUUGUAUUAUUACAAUGAAGAGCGAAGGUUGGGGGAACAAAGAGGAUCAGAUACCCUCGUAGUCCUAUUUUUACAUCAAACUAUGGGAUUUCAAUUGAAUAUUUUAUUACUCUCAACUAAUUAAUUAAAUAUGAUUGAGUAAUAUUUAUUAUUUUACUCUCUAUUUAAAAAAUUUAUGAUUCAAAAAAUAUGAUUAUAUGUACUUUGAGCUCAUAUAAUUAUAUAGGUGAGAUGUAAGCAUUAUAGGUGAUCAAUAUAUAUUAUAUUAUAUAAUAUAUUAUUGUAAUCCUUAAAAUUAAAAAAUGUAAUGUGAUGCACGUUUUAGGUACGAGCUUACUAUAGAAAUAUUUAAAAUAAUACCCUCCUGGGGUAGUAUGCACGCAAGUGUGAANNNNNNNNNNNNNNNNNNAAGGGCACCACAAGAACGCGUGGAGCAUGUGGCUUAAUUUGACUCAACCCGGGAAAUCUUACCAGGUCCAGACAUAUUGAGGAUUGACAGGCGAUAGUAUAUAUAUAUUAUUAUAUAUGCAUAAAAAUGAUAGUCCUUUCAUGAUUAUAUGAUAGGUGGUGCAUGGCCGUUCUUAGUUCGUGGAGUGAUUUGUCUGCUUAAUUGCGUUUCAGUUAAAUAAAAUAUAUAAUAUAUAUAAUUAUUAGUUCUGCCUAAUAUAUGGAUUUAAAGUGAACAUAUUAUAUCAUAUUAUUAUAUAAUAAAUGAAUGCAACGAACGUGACCGUAACCUUUUAUUGCAUUAAAGUAUUGCAUAAAAUUAAAGGAACCGCUGUCAUUAUUAAUAUGUGUUAAAAUAGAGUAAGAAUACGGCAAUAACAGGUCUGUGAUGCCCUCAGAUGUUCUGGGCUGCACACGUGCUACAAUAAUUACAUUAAUAAGUAUAUACAUAUAUUAAGUAUAACUUAAUUAAAAACCUAUUUCGAAAGUAAAUCGGUAAUCAUUUAAAAAUCGUGAUUAUAAAUAUAUAUACAUAAUUGUAUAUUUAAUUAAUUUAAGGUGGGGAUAGUGUAUUGUUAAUUAUUACACUUGGCCUUAACUAGGAAUGCCUUGUACUCUUCUUUGGUUUAACAUACCAAGAGGAAUACGUCCCUGCCCUUUGUACACACCGCCCGUCGCUCUUACCGAUGAAUUAUAUUAUAAAUCUAAGGGAUUUAAAUAAAAUAUUAUAAAAACUUAUAUACAUAAUGUGAUUUAAAGGAAAGAGAAGUCGUAACAAGGCAUCAGUAGGUGAACCU
rnacentral:rRNA from 1 species